rnacentral:lncRNA from 1 species
UUGCAAUAGAAUGAAAUAAAAGAAUAAAAAAAAAAAUUUGUUUAAUAGGCAUAAAAAAUAGAGUAUAAAAAUCAUAAAAGUCUCAAAUAUAUAUUAUAGGAUAAUUAAAGCGCUCAGCAUCUUCAUGGACGAUGCGGUUAACCCGAAAAAUCCUUUUGUCAUUUAAGGCCUUUUUAAUUUUGAAAAUCACCCAAUGCUUUUAAACAAAACAGAGUUAGAAUGAAAUCAUAUAAGGAUAUGCUUCGCCGUUUUCUAGCAAGAUUGCACAAAAUAUAUCUUAACUGAUCAUAUCUAACACAAUCUCUCAACAAUCUUCAUGGACGAUGCAGUCGACCUGAAAAAUCUAAUAUCAUUUAGGGCUAAUUUGGUUUCGUAGACCAUCCAAUACUUUUAAACAAAAAGGAGUUACAAUGAAAUCAUUCAUACAAGAAUAUGCUUUUCUAUUUUCUAGUGAGAUAGCACAAAAUGUAUCUGAUCUGACCAUACAUAAUACAAUCUCUCCACAAUUUCAAAACAAAGCUUGACAACAAUACCUGC